GCAUUAAUAGCUCAGAAAUAAGAGCGUCGGUCUUGUAAACCGAAGGCCGAGGGCUAACCCCCUCUUAAUGCU
rnacentral:tRNA from 1 species